rnacentral:rRNA from 1 species
ACAGAGGGGGCAAGCGUUGUUCGGAAUUACUGGGCGUAAAGGGCGCGUAGGCGGCCCUCUAAGUCGAACGUGAAAUCCCUGGGCUCAACCCAGGAACUGCGUCCGAGACUGGAGGGCUAGAAUCCGGGAGAGGGAUGUGGAAUUCCAGGUGUAGCGGUGAAAUGCGUAGAUAUCGGGAGGAACACCAGUGGCGAAGGCGAGUCUCUGGGAUGAUGCUGACGCUGAGGCGCGAAAGCCAGGGGAGCAAACGGGA